rnacentral:rRNA from 1 species
UACGAAGGGGGCUAGCGUUGCUCGGAAUUACUGGGCGUAAAGGGCGCGUAGGCGGGUCGUUUAGUUAGAGGUGAAAGCCCAGGGCUCAACCCUGGAAUUGCCUUUAAUACUGGCGGCCUUGAGUAUGGCAGAGGUGUGUGGAACUCCGAGUGUAGAGGUGAAAUUCGUAGAUAUUCGGAAGAACACCAGUGGCGAAGGCGACUUACUGGACACGUAUUGACGCUGAGGUGCGAAAGCGUGGGGAGCAAACAGG